rnacentral:rRNA from 1 species
GACGAACGCUGGCGGCGUGCUUAACACAUGCAAGUCGAACGCAGUGGCGAACGGGUGCGGAACACGUGAGUACCCUGCCCCCUUCUUUGGUAUAACGCCCGGAAACGGGUGCUAAUCCUGGAUAGAGGGGGAUGGGCUCGCGGCCUAUCAGCUUGGUGGUGGGUUGAUGGCCUACCAAGGCUUUGACGGGUAGCCGGCCUGAGAGGGUGACCGGUCACAUUGGGACUGAGAUACGGCCCAGACUCCUAAGGGAGGCAGCAGUGGGGAAUAUUGCACAAUGGGCGAAAGCCUGAUGCAGCGACGCCGCGUGAGGGAUGACGGCCUUCGGGUUGUAAACCUCUUUCGCUCAUGGUCGGGUAGUGGGUAAAGAAGCGCCGGCUAACUACGUGCCAGCAGCCGCGGUAAUAC